AGUGAACGCUGGCGGUAGGCCUAACACAUGCAAGUCGAACGGCAGCACAGUAAGAGCUUGCUCUUACGGGUGGCGAGUGGCGGACGGGUGCGGAAUACAUCGGAAUCUACUUUUUCGUGGGGGAUAACGUAGGGAAACUUACGCUAAUACCGCAUACGACCUACGGGGGAAAGCAGGGGAUCUUCGGACCUUGCGCGAUUGAAUGAGCCGAUGUCGGAUUAGCUAGUUGGCGGGGUAAAGGCCCACCAAGGCGACGAUCCGUAGCUGGUCUGAGAGGAUGAUCAGCCACACUGGAACUGAGACACGGUCCAGACUCCUACGGGAGGCAGCAGUGGGGAAUAUUGGACAAUGGGCGCAAGCCUGAUCCAGCCAUACCGCGUGGGUGAAGAAGGCCUUCGGGUUGUAAAGCCCUUUUGUUGGGAAAGAAAAGCAGCAGGUUAAUACCCCGCUGUUCUGACGGUACCCAAAGAAUAAGCACCGGCUAACUUCGUG
rnacentral:rRNA from 1 species